rnacentral:tRNA from 1 species
GGGAGUGCGCCGGAGUAGGAGAGCCGGGCCAGACUGUAAAUCUGGUGUCUUUGACUGAAUAGGUUCGAGUCCUAUCACUCCCA